rnacentral:rRNA from 1 species
AUUGAACGCUGGCGGCAUGCCUAACACAUGCAAGUCGAACGGUAACGCGGGGGCAACCCUGGCGACGAGUGGCGGACGGGUGAGUAAUACGUAGGAAUCUGCCCAUUUGUGGGGGAUAACCCGGCGAAAGCCGGGCUAAUACCGCAUACGCUCUACGGAGGAAAGCGGGGGAUCGUAAGACCUCGCGCAAAUGGAUGAGCCUACGUCGGAUUAGCUAGUUGGUAGGGUAACGGCCUACCAAGGCGACGAUCCGUAGCUGGUCUGAGAGGACGAUCAGCCACACUGGGACUGAGACACGGCCCAGACUCCUACGGGAGGCAGCAGUGGGGAAUAUUGGACAAUGGGGGCAACCCUGAUCCAGCAAUGCCGCGUGUGUGAAGAAGGCCUGCGGGUUGUAAAGCACUUUCAGAGGGGAAGAAAAAAUCGGAGCUAACACCUCCGAGCUUGACGUUACCCUGAGAAGAAGCACCGGCUAACUCCGUGCCAGCCGCCGCCGUAAUAC